rnacentral:lncRNA from 1 species
UCCCCAGAAGUAUGAUCUGGGAGGUUUUGCCAGCCAGGGCUACAGAGGAGCCCAGAAGCCCCCUCUAAUAGAACUGAUCCAUGUCCAGAUCACCUAAAUAGCUGAAGAUUAAGAAACCUUCAAGCUACCCAAGAUAAACAUCUCAGUGAUGGAAGAGAAGAAAUAACCACCAAGGACCCAUAACCUCAAACCCUCUGACUUGAGUAUACUCACAUCCACUGCUUUCUAGAGCUCUUUCUAUUCAAGUAGUUCCAGAUAGAGGGUGUCUUGUAUUCCACCCCUUUUACCCUGGAUCUGAUGUAGAAAAGUUAUAUUUUUUUCUUAAAACCUCUUAAACUGAGGCUAAAGCUGGAGACAUCACUAAUUUUUUAUAAACAGUACAAAGCUUGUCCUUAUUGUGUGGAAGAAUCAUUUAAAAGACAAAUGCAUAAAAAUAACUAUAAAUAUGUUAAUGGGUACACAAUAUUUGAAGGUAUAAUUUGGGACAUUAAUGGCAUAAAAGGGUAGUAAAGCUAUAAAGGAAUAGAGUGCUUGUAUGUGAUUUAAGUUAAAUUAGUAGUAGAUUAUCAUAACUUUAGAAUGUUAUAUAAGACAUACAGAAAACAAAUAGCAAAAUGGCAAAAGUAAGUGUUUCCCUAUCAGUAAUUACUUCAAAUGUAAAUGAAUUAAACUCCCCAGUCAAAA